CCGGGACCGCCCGCGGGGGCAGCGGGGCCCGCCGGCCACCCCUGCUGCCACCGCCGCCCCUGCGAGCUGCCACCGUGGGCGCACCGGGCUCUAGCGCUGCUGAAUGUACGUGGGGUUUGUGCUGGGGCAGGAUGAAGGCCAGGCAGGCACAGCACCUCACCUUCCAACAACAUUUUAGUCACUGCGUCUUUCACUUACACAGCCCGGUUGUCUGAAAUAUGUCAAGGGAAAAAUGCUGAGGUGACCGUUCGUGCCCUAGGACUCCAUUUAUGCAGCACUGUACAGCACAGAGUCAUGGGGAACACACCCAUCAUAGAGAGAACAGCCACCACCUUCCAGCUGCUGCAAACAAAAGCUGGCCCUGCUAAAUGGCAACUGUCAAGAACUUUCCUUGGGAACAGCUGCAACUUCUGAAGUCAAGCUCCAGAACAGAAGUACUGGCUUGCUAAGGUGAGCUGCAGAACAGAGAUUUAGCAACACAAGGCAAAAAAUAACAGUAUAUUCCAUAUCAAUACAUAGGCAUAGCAAAGGUUGGGAGGUAUCAGAGUAGCAUGUGCAGGUAGCAGCAUAAUUCUGUUGGCUUCUGCUGAAUCAUCUUAUUUGUACUAUGUAAGAGAAAAAUAGGCUGCGCUUUUCAUCUAUCCUUUAAUUACAAUAAAACUUCUUGAUUAUAUUGAUGAUUUUCAACUUCAUGUCAAUUAGACCCACUAAUUCCAUUAAUGAAGAGCAAAUUUGGAUAAAAUGGAUGGGAUUUGUUAUGACAGGGUAGUAACUGGAAGGCAGCCCAAGGAAUUUCCAAGGUCUACCUGCCAGCAGCAGGAUAUAUUCCCAGAAAAUCAAUUAUACAUAUAAGCAAAAAUAUCAUGGAGAUUAAAGAACAUAUGAAAGAGCAAGCACAACUCUUUCACAACACUGUGAAUCUAGAGUAACUUCACUGAAGCCAAUGAGUUACAGUGGUGUGAGUGAGAAAAGAACCAGCUCCAUUGUCUGAAAAUUACUCGGGCCACCCAUGGAGUCCAAUCACAGGAACUGCAGGCAGCUAAUAUUGCAGCAUUUAAUUCAGAAGGCCCAAGACUGAAAAGAAGAGACUGAAAAUAAAGGAUCUGAAUUUGGUUUCAGAUAAAAAAACCCCACUGAAAAAUAGCAGGAAAAUGGUGAAUGGAAAAGAAAAAAAAAACAAACCCUCAAUUUCUAAAAAAUCCUCCUUCUCCAAAAAUAAUUUGCAUAGACCAAAGAAUAGAUCUGUAUGCUUUGGGGUUUUUUUUAACACCCUGCAAGUACCCAGUUAACAGUGGCUGAGCUGUAUGCUUCCCUGAAGGGAAAGUGUUAUCUUGGCUUUCCAAACAGCAGACACAUUUUGUGAGUUGGUGCAUACUGUUCUACACCUACUCAGAUGAGUGCUGCAGAACAAGGUGUCACACCUUUCUAGCACAGGUCACUCUAAUAUAUCCUACCACAUUUUUAGGUAGUAAUGUACCUUCACUUUCCCUCCUUUAGUUUACUCCCUCUAAACACACACUCCAUUUUUUGUCUGAGGUCAGUGAAUUUAACUUUUCCAGCUCCUGUCACCUCCCACUUGAGAAAGCAUUUCUGCCAGUAGU